AACUGAUGGCCGAUCUCUGUUAAUUUAACCUGUUACUCAUGCUCUUUAUCCAAAAAAGCAAUCCCAUGCUCUUUAUCCAAAAAUUAGGCAUCCAAGAUUUUGCAUUCAUAAUUUACGAUCCACGUGUCUUGUCCAUAGCACCUCUUAUCCACUAAUUGGACUGUUUAAGGUUUAACGCAGCUUCUCCAGAAUGUAGGAUGAAAUACUUUCUGCUAAUCACGAGCAUGAUUGCAAAUAUAUU